UGCUGACACAAGGCCAGGAGUGUUCAGGGGAAAAUGCAAACAACUGUGUGUCGGGUGCCUACUGCAUGACUACUUGUGAAUGUGAAGAUGAAUAUAAGGCUGUGUCCAAUCUCUGUGAACCUGCAAACCUCUCGCACUGGAGGCACUGAUUGCAAGCCUGGACAAAAUUCCUGUUUCAUCCGAAACUCUAAGCGCAGCACUCUUAAAAAGAUGUGGUUGUUUUGGUAGAGACUCCUACUGGGCAGAUAGUUGCUGAUAACAGCUGGAAAGCAUUCUCCAGCUGUCUGUCCAUCUGUCAUGCUGAUGACUGCGUUCCUGCCAUGCUCUGUCUUUUAUCUCUGAAGAAAGUCAACUGAAUCAUGUGAGACCGCAACCGCUGACAACUUGGAAAAAUCUUUUGAAAAUAUAGUUUUACCAUUAAUGAAACCUGUUGCUAUUUUAAAGAUUUUUGUUUUAUUUUUUCUUUCUGUCUCGUGUCAUAAAACAAAACAGCAGCUCGAGUAAUCUGAUUAAAUACAACAGGCGAUUUUCCUACUUGGUUUCUAUGACAAAAAAUAUUAUCUCCUCUUGAAAUUACUUAUUGAAAUAAAAUGCAUAGAAAUCUUACUAUUUAAGGAGUAAUACACUUGUUUGACUGUAGUGUGAUGUCACAGAGCUUUUUCAAGCGGAUAAAAAUGUACUCAGUUGUAUGCAAAAGCUACAAGUAGAAAAAACUAGUAUGUAUAAUACAACAUUUUGUACUGCUGUUUACAUGGUUUACCAGUUAUCUACUUCAACAAAACUCCUAUGUUGUGUCCACUGUAAAACUAUUUCCUCUGUGACGAGUGCUACUGUGAAGCAUUGGUUUAAUUCCUCCUUAUCUCUUUGAUCCUGAAUACCUGAAUAUUGGAUUCUCGUCCUAAUCAACAAUCUUUUCAUUUCAUGGUUGGUGCAAAAUAUUAAGCAGAAAUUAAAUUUUGAA